GACUCUCAAAGGCAUUUUCUAACACCAGCCAUCUUCUGUGUUUUAAAUCUAAGCUAAAGUGCCAAAUUAAGUUCCCUCACUGAACAUCUCUGUUAUUCCCUCAGCAAAUGAAUAUUCCAAGCAGCCAAACAGUCACUCCAACCAGUCAGUAUUGGAAGGUUCAAUUUCAUAUCUGAAAGAAGAAGUAAAAGAAGGAUUGCCCCACAUGGAAACUACAGAAGCAACUGAGACCGCUCUUAAAAUGGCUAGCUGAAAGCAGACGCAACCUGGCUCCAUGUUACAUUUAGGCCACAAUUUCCCUUCUUCUUAAUACAAUAACCUUAUUAAUUGUUAAAUGAGCCUUGUGAACGUUCUUCAUAGUUGAGAGGAAUAUAUUUUAUGCUAUCUGAACACCAACUGGGCAUUUAGCCAUAAAGGGUGAGGGCAGUUGCAGUGCAGAGUGAGUUUUCCAUCUCCUCCAAUCCUGCAAUUUGGCUCCAAGUUUUUAAUCUACUCUUUGCAAGUAAGCAAAGCAAAACUAGGCAAAUCUGAAUGUUGAAAGCUGUCAGCUACAUGAGCAAUGUCAGUGGGGGCCAAGUAUCGUGGGGCUGACAGCUUGUCAGAGUCAGAGGAUAUAUUCUGGGCCAGUAGUCAAGUUAGUGAACAUUCUCUACAGCUCAUUGUGUCCUUGGCUCUUGUGAUAGCAGUGAGGACAUUCAAGGGAGCCAAGCCCUCCAGUUGAACUAGGCAGAGCAUCCGUAUAUGUCUUUAUUAGCUUCCAUCUAGCCUUCCUUUCCCCUUAAAAAAAUGUGCAACCAGAAUCUUUCCACUUUUCCCCCUUCUUCCCUCCCAAACCACUUUUACUUUAUUCUUAAGGGGGUUAUAUACAUGUGUUUAAAAGUUUGGUUUUUCAUUUUUAUCUUGGCAGCAGGGCAAAGUGCUGGUAGUUGUACCAUGCUUUCACUCCCAGUGAAUGAAAAACAUGCAUUGUCCUGAUAAGAGGGUGGCUGAGGAACCCUCAAAGGGAAGCUGAACAGAGCCCACAUGGCCUGGACUCUACUGGUUUGCAUAAGAAGAAGCUAGCAGUCCCUCUGAAGCAAAGUUAUUCAUCAAAGGCACCCCUGCUUUUCAGUAGCUGGUAUCUAGUAUCUUCCUGCAUGUUUGUUUUCAGAAGCAUUCUACUCUGUGAAUGGAAGAGGACCCCAGUUAACAUGAGAAAACUUUAUCUUCCUUUUGAACUCAACCGGCAUGUAGCACUGCCUCUACCUAUUUUUUCCCCACAACAACAUCAACCCUCUACAUGCUGUCCUGUACAACUCUUGCUGUUUGAGGUGUGGGUGCAUGUGGUGCCCCUGAGUCUUCUUUUACACUUGCCGCUUGCUAUAAAUAGCACUUUUUCUUCAAACAUUCAACUUUCUCAGGAGAUUUUGUUUACAGCUCUAAACGUUUGAUAAAGAUGUUGGGUUAAAUGCAGAACAGCCAGUUUAAAUACCAGAACAUGUCAGUCUUGUAAAAGUAUCUCACUCUUUAUUAGAACCAUCAAGUGGAAACAAAACAUUUAGAAGUGUAUGCAAUCCAGUAAUGUAAGCUUUCUUAAAAACAUUAUAUAGAUAUAACAAUGAAUUACAGUAUUUGAGAGUUGCUGUUAAAAAUCUGAAAAAAAAGCAAUGAACAUUACUGUAAAUGCAAUGCAGCUUGUAAAUGCCAUUAUCAGAGUU